rnacentral:rRNA from 1 species
UACGGAGGGUGCAAGCGUUAUCCGGAUUCACUGGGUUUAAAGGGUGCGUAGGUGGGCAAGUAAGUCAGUGGUGAAAUCUCCGGGCUUAACCCGGAAACUGCCAUUGAUACUAUUUGUCUUGAAUACUGUGGAGGUCAGCGGAAUAUGUCAUGUAGCGGUGAAAUGCUUAGAUAUGGCACAGAACACCAAUUGCGAAGGCAGCUUACUAAGGCGAUACUGACGCUGAGGCACGAAAGCGUGGGGAUCGAACAGG